ACAUACCCUGCCAGGGGGUGUCUCCGGGCCUAUGCAUUUGUUCACAUGGGACAGCCAUGCUGGACCAGGCCACUGAGCCCAAAGCACAAGUCACAGACAGCCCUCCUGAUAGGGUGCCAGGCGGCUGUGUCAAGAGGCCAUGUGUGCUCAGGAGCUGGGGUGCGAGCCUCAGAGCUGACAGAGGCUGUGUGGAGAGCAGGCUGGGGUAGAGGAAGACAUCCUGGGCUCCAUGACAGCUCCGUGAGCGUUGCUUGGCUGGAGGCAUUCCCUACCAGAAGAGUGCCACCACCACAGGAGCGGAGGGUGAUUGAAAGGGCGGAGGGCCGCCGAGGGACCGCUAAGAAGAUGCGGUGGCCAUGGUGAUGGUGAUGAUUGACAGAGGAAGUAUUGGAGGUCUGCAUUCUGUCCUCAGAGCUGCAAAAGUAAAUGUGACCUGUAAUCCCGACUAAGGGAAAAGAAACAAACAGGAACUCCGCCGGGCGCCGCCGCUGCUGCCGCUGCGUGGGGCCUGUCCCUGUCCCUGGAAGACUCCACACGUCCCGUGUCCCUGCCAGCGGCUGGGAGGGAGAUCACAGGGUCUCUCGGCAGGGCCACCUCCAGGCCUGCUUUCCUGCCUUGUCCUGGCCAGCCUUCGCUGCCAGCCUCUGCAGCUCUUGGUGCCCUGUUGGAAACAGUGAAGAACCUCAGGCCAAAGUCCUAAUCGGUUUUUGUCCUGACUCAGUGUGAGCAGCCAUCAGAUCACAGGUUCUGCAGUUUGCUUGUUGGGCUUCGAAUUUCAGCUCUGUCACCUGGGCAGCUCUUCCAGGGUGGGUCACCCUGCCCUGUGGCCACCAGCCCCCUGCAACCAGGGCAGCCCCCGUGUCUUCAGGGGCUCAGAAACCAUAGGUGUCCUGAAGCUAUGACACUCAGUGUUUGUUUGUUUCCUUGAGAUAAGGUUUUGCUCUAUAGCCCAGACUAGACUGAACGAUCCUCCUGCUUCAACCUUCCAAGCACUAGGCUAACAGGCCUUCCCCACCCCCCUCCUCCCCACCCAGGAUUCAUCCACUGUUUACAGAGUUACUGAGGCUGGCAGCUGCAUCGAAUGUGGCAGGAUCAAACUGUGGGCCGCCGUGUGUUUCCCGUGCCCCUUCUAGUGGUAACAGAAGGGGGAGCAUUUGCGAUGCUUUUUUUUAACCUGUUUCUCUGGGGCGUCUGCUCUUCACGACAGCGAGCCUUUAACAUGCUGGAUCUCUCACGACUGCACAGGUGGAUGUGGGGGCCUCACUCUUGACCUUGAUGUUUUUUUUUUUUUAAGGGAAACAGGCACCGAGGUGCUAAGUAACUUUCCCAAGGGCACACAGAGAGUGGCAGAGCCUGGUUCUCACCAAGGCAGCCUGGCUUUGGGAUGUGGAUUUCCCUCAGUGCUGCAGAGAACCCGAGGGACUGCCAAGUAUGUUCUGGAAGAUUGUGCCUGCGGGAGGAGCCAGUAGGGUGGGAGUCACCGAGGCGGCACUGAUAAUGGCACGGCUGGAGUACCUGAAGGAGCCAAAGCUGAAAUCCCACCAGCGUUCACGAGGGAAGCCAUCCCAACUGACAGACUCUCCGCCAGCACAGCACCCCCAAAGGGGGAGGAGCACAGCGGUCACAGAGACAGGUCUCCACGUGGACCAGGCCACCUGCCAGCUCAGUUGCAAGCCUGAGUAGCCCCACCCCGCGGAAGGCAGGCAAUGAAGGCUCAGCGGACUAGGCUGGGAGAGCAACUGGCUGGGGAAACGGGUAUUGCAGCUGUGUGGUGGAGACAGCCGGUGUGGGAGCAGAGGGCACCUCCUGGGUUCCUCUGCUCCCACAUUUGGACACAGGCAUAGGUCUCAUGCAGCAUGACGGAUAUGCAAAGUGACACUAGUCCCAGGAGACGAGGAAGCCAGCGUCAGCCUCCUUAAGGCACUGCGGUGGACAUCAUAAAGCCACCAAUCACAUGUAGGGGUCUUGGAUCCCAUCUUAGCAUCACAAGCCCAAGCCUGCAGUGGCACACGCCAGACCAGCCUGUGCUACGCAGCGAGACUCAGAAAGAAAGACAAGGCGCUGGAAAGACGGCUCAGCGGUUAAAAACACGUAUUGCUUUUGCAAAGAACCGGAGUUUGGUUCCCAGCACCCACACUGGGUGGUUCAUGGCUGCCUGCAACUCUUCUGGAUCCAGUGCCCCAGACAGAUGCAAACACACACAAAUACAAAUAAAACAAAUACCGGACAAGAAAAACAGAAGUACUCCAUGCCCUUCCCAGUUAGGUCUCUCUGUCUCUCCUGCUUGUGGAUCAGAUGUGAGCUUUCAGCCUCGGCUCCAACGCCAUGCCUGCCUGCCUGCCUGCCUGCCUGCCUGCCUGCCACAUGCUCCCCUCCGUGAUGGUCAUGGACUCGAACCCUCUGCAACUGUAGGCCAUGAAUUAAAUGCUGUUUAUAAGCUA